CCUAAAAUUUUGUCGUGUCAAUUAAACAACGUAUCGCUUUCAGAGGAACUCUGUCCCCUGACCCUGUUUACUUCCAAUUACGCUGUGCUGAUGUGGCUGGGAAUUGUAAAUUGCAGAGGUGCCUUUUUGGGUUCCUGAAAUAAUCCGGGGGGAGGGGGGGAGGGGAUAGAGACACACACUGAUCCCAAACAGGCCCUGCAGGGCCGGGGACGUAUGGCGCCUGGCCAGGGUGCAGCGGGAGGCACCGAGCCACACAUCCCCAUCGCCACACGUGUGUACUUGGUGCUGCCCACGGGGCCCCGUGGUGUCACUGUGCCGGGAGUGUCACCAGGUACGUAACGCACUGUGAUGCAAAAUACGGCAUUCCUCCCAGUUCGGGUGGUCGGACGGCUGUUGGAGAUGGCACUGCAACUGGUGCUGAGACAGAGCCCGCUGCCAUGCCAGCCUCACUAAUACAGAGUCCAACAAAUACGUUGCGUUGUGCACCAAUAACCCAUUUCUGCCUGAACGGUACACCGCAGGCCCAGCUCCCUGCCCUGCUCGUGGGGGAGACGCCUGCGGCCAAGCCGAGGACAAAAGGGAGUUUGGGACCGCGCUGAGCGCUGCCGAGCACCGAGAAGGGAACACGUGCCGAGCCCCGGCGGCGGGGAUGCUGCCGUACCACGUCGCGUUGCAGCGCGCACUGCCUGCAGCGGGUCUUCCCUUCGCUGCUGCACGCGCAGUGAUGCGAGCGGCGGUGCCGCGGUGUGAACUUUGCUGUUCACACGGAUCCUUUUCCCUUCACCAGAUUUAGUUGCUAAUAAAAUUACGCUUUCUGCAGAAAUGAGAA